rnacentral:rRNA from 1 species
GCGCACGCUGGCGGCAGGCCUAACCCAUGCCAGUCGAACGAACCUUUCGGGGUUAGUGGCGGACGGGUGAGUAACACGUGGGAACGUGCCUUUAGGUUCGGAAUAACUCAGGGAAACUUGUGCUAAUACCGAAUGUGCCCUUCGGGGGAAAGAUUAAUCGCCUUUAGAGCGGCCCGCGUCUGAUUAGCUAGUUGGUUGAGGUAAUGGCUCACCAAGGCGACGAUCAGUAGCUGGUCUGAGAGGAUGAUCAGCCACAUUGGGACUGAGACACGGCCCAAACUCCUACGGGAGGCAGCAGUGGGGAAUCUUGCGCAAUGGGCGAAAGCCUGACGCAGCCAUGCCGCGUGAAUGAUGAAGGUCUUAGGAUUGUAAAAUUCUUUCACCGGGGACGAUAAUGACGGUACCCGGAGAAGAAGCCCCGGCUAACUUCGUG